rnacentral:tRNA from 2 species
UUAUUAUUUUGGCAGAUUAGUGCAAUGAAUUUAGAAUUCAAAAAUAUAAUUUUUAUUAUAAAUA